rnacentral:rRNA from 1 species
UACGGGGGGGGCAAGCGUUGUUCGGAAUUACUGGGCGUAAAGGGCUCGUAGGCGGCCAACUAAGUCAGACGUGAAAUCCCUCGGCUUAACCGGGGAACUGCAUCUGAUACUGGAUGGCUUGAGUUCGGGAGAGGGAUGCGGAAUUCCAGGUGUAGCGGUGAAAUGCGUAGAUAUCUGGAGGAACACCGGUGGCGAAGGCGGCAUCCUGGACCGACACUGACGCUGAGGAGCGAAUGCCAGGGGAGCAAACGGG